UUUGCCAUUUCUUAGAGCCCAAUACUAUACUAUUCCAUCACAUUCAUUCAGUGACUUUGAGUGAUGAAUAGCAUUACCGUAUGUGAUUGUGUGCCUGUUUAAGCAGCCCCUCUGACACUGGUCAUUGUCCUUUCCAUUUAUCUUGACUGACCAGAGGACAGGAGGCAGAGCCUCAGUGUUGUCGUACCUGGCAUUCUUCUCUGGGUAACUCGGAGCAUUUUCUUCCUAGAGCUUCUGGUUGCUUGUAUUUCUACCUGUCAGAACUGCCUGUCUCUACUUCUGACUAUCUGUUGGGCUGUCGCCCUUGUUUUUCUGUAUUUGAAUUGGGAUUUCAGACUUGGUCAGGGAAAUUUGCUGCAAAUAUGUCUUCCCAGUUCACCUGCAUUGAUGUUGGUUCUGUAGAACCUUUGUCAGUUUGGUAAUCAACCUUUGCCCUUUCAUCUCUCCGAUUCCCGGAAGGCUAAUUCCUUUUUUGCUUCGGGAUGUGUCGGUCACCUGGGUGUUUUCUAGCCAUUUGAAGGUUAUUCUGCCAUGUAGUAUGAUAUGCUGAUCUAACUCCAACUUCUGCCAGAUUGCUUUCCAUUUUCUCAUAUUGUUUUUGUCAAAUAGUUGAAUCUUUGCCCCAGCACUGAUGUCUCUGAGUAAACUGAAUGGAAAAAGAAUUCUAUAUUUUUGGCAAUUAAUCUCUUCUCUUUUCUUAAUAGGUGGUCCAGAAGGAUGGGAAGCCCCUGUAGGAUGAAACAUAAAGUUUUGGAAAGCCCUUUGGGAAAGAUAGAAAUCUCUGGAUGUGAUGCUGGAGUGCAUAGAAUAAGACUUCUGGAAAAAAUAUUCCCGAGGCCUGGCGGAGUGUACCCAGGCCCCAAGCCAGGAAGACCCUUGUCAGGAGUUCCGAUCUGCUCUGUGUGCCUCCGUUUCCUCAUCGAUAAAAGGAACUGGACAAACAGUUGGAAAUUGAGGGGGCGUCCCUCCCCUGGGGAACAGCGAACAAACUGUGGUACGUGCGAGUACUGCUGUGCUGUAAGAAACGAUGAGCAGGAGGAUUUCUGAAAGAGCUGGACAGGCCUGGGGGAGCAGCAGGGUGGGAGGGUGAGCGAUCCGGACCACCCCCACAGACCGAUGUCGGGGCGGCUCUGCCCCGCCAGAGCGAGAGCCGCGGAGGUGCCUGUCGCCUCAGCGAAGUUCUGGGGUUACUGGGGCUUUACGUGACCAGAAUCGAAGUAGGGUUUGCAUGGCAACAAAAAAGUGAAGAAAAUGGGCUGGAAAAGAAAAUGCGCCUGCCAAGAGCACCCCAGAGGGCACCGGGGAGAGCAGAGUCCCGGCAACCAAUCAGAAUCGCGCUCUCCUUGGCCGCCACGAUAACGUCAGACGAGGCCUGCGGCGGCGCUUGGCCUGGAGGGAGCUGCAGUUUAUGGCUUCUUGUCCCUGCACGCCAAGGGCCGCCUCCUGGGCUUCCGAGGGUUUCUUGGCCAUCUGUUGCCAUUCUGGCCUCUCCCUGCUGUCCGCUCCUUGUGCUUAGCAGCAUUCACCCCCCUUCUAUGGCCCUGCUUCUCUUGUGGCUUGACGCUGUCCAGGGAUUCCGGUUUGGAUCCUGACUGGUGCUUCUUGACUGUGACUAAAUACCAACCGUUCGGGGCUCGCGUUCUUUGUGCUUUUGCACGUUCCGGCGAUGCUGGGUGGACUGUGCGCCCCAUCCUCCUGUUUGGGGGGAAACUUCAGCUUUACCUAACUACCUGCUGCCGUUAUCAGGAUGGAAACCGU
rnacentral:lncRNA from 1 species